CCCAGACUCCUACGGGAGGCAGCAGUGGGGAAUAUUGCACAAUGGGGGGAACCCUGAUGCAGCGACGCCGCGUGGGUGAAGGAGCACCUCGGUGCGUAAAGCCCUAUCGGCAGGGAAGAAACAGACGGUACCUGACUAAGAAGCCCCGGCUAACUACGUGCCAGCAGCCGCGGUAAUACGUAGGGGGCAAGCGUUAUCCGGAUUCACUGGGUGUAAAGGGAGCGUAGACGGCGACGCAAGUCUGGAGUGAAAGCCCGGGGCCCAACCCCGGGACUGCUCUGGAACCGCAUGGCUGGAGUGCGGGAGGGGCAGGCGGAAUUCCUAGUGUAGCGGUGAAAUGCGUAGAUAUUAGGAGGAACACCAGUGGCGAAGGCGGCCUGCUGGACUGCAACUGACGUUGAGGCUCGAAGGCGUGGGGAGCAAACAGGAUUAGAUACCCUUGUAA
rnacentral:rRNA from 1 species